rnacentral:rRNA from 1 species
CCCUUAGAUGUCCUGGGCCGCACGCGCGUUACACUGAUGCACUCAACGAGCAUAUAACCUUGGCCGAGAGGCCUGGGUAAUCUUGUUAACAUGCAUCGUGAUAGGGAUAGAUUAUUGCAAUUAUUAAUCUUGAACGAGGAAUUCCUAGUAAUCGCGGAUCAUCAAUCCGCAAUGAUUACGUCCCUGCCCUUUGUACACACCGCCCGUCGCACCUACCGAUUGAAUGGUCCGGUGAAAUCUCGGGACGGCGGCUUGGUCGCUUGCGUCCGACUGCUGAAACUUGAUUAAACCAUAUCAUUUAGAGGAAGGUGAAGUCGUAACA